AAUAAAUGUUAAUUGAAUUUAUGAACAAAAAUAUACACACAUACCAUAUUUUUAAACUUUCCAUAUUUUCAAAUCACAUAAAAUUCUAUUUGUCUCUAAAGUAGUUCCAAAAUAGUAUUUAAAUACAUUCAUCAAAUGUCCUGCAUGUAUAUAUGUAUACAUAUAUGUAUAGGGAUAUCAAUAUAGACAUAUGAGAGAUGAAGAGAGAGUAUAUAUGCUUAAAUGUAUACACAUGCACAUGCCAGUAAAAGACAAUACCAACAAAGAAUUUCCCUGUGCUUUGAUUGCAGUCUUACAUUCUUAAUUAGUUAUAGUGAGCCCCGUAGACUAUACUGUAAGCUCUAAACAAGUGAGAGUCAGUAUUCUAUGUUGAAAUGUUCUCUGCCAACAGUGCUUUACCUCGAUAUCCUGAGUGUAUUAUUUUUUUUAAUUUUUUGUAAUGUUUAUUUUUGAGAGAGACAAAGAGAGAGCACAAGUGUGGUGGGGAGGGGCAGAGAGGGAGACACAGAAUCAGGCUCCAGGCUCUGCGCUGUCAGCACAGAACCCAACGUGGGGCUCAAACUCACAACCAUGAGAUCAUGACCUGAGCUGAAGUUGGAUGCUUAACCGACUGAGCCACCCAAGUGCCCCCUGAGUGUAUUACUUUUUCUUUAAUUUUUUAAUGGAUAUUUAUUUUUGAGAGGGAGAGAGACAGAGUGCAAGCAGAGGAGGGGCAGAGAGAGAGGGAGACACAGAAUCUGAAGCAGGCUCCUGGCUCUGAGCUGUCAGCACAGAGCUGGACGCUGGGCUCAAACUCACAAACUGUGAGAUCAUGACCUGAGCUGAAGUCGGAUGCUCAACCAACUGAGCCAUCCAGGCACCACCCUCCUUCCCCCCAGUGUAUGCUUAUGUGUGUAGCUUCUUCUAUCAUGAGGUCUCAUUCUGCUGUUUUCAGUGUCUUAGCAAAGACUUCUGACUCAUCAAAACUGACAAAAUACAUAAAAAGAAACCCAGGAAAAAUAUCAUUCUAUAUUUUCAAAUGCAAAUUCUAGAGCAUCUUUAGGUAGAUAAAAAAAAUACACUUUAGAAGCUAAGUAUAGAUUGUGGGAAGACAUUUGACAUUAUAAAGUUAUAAAGGCAGCUGUAAACUUCUCUGGAACCUGAAAGGAAUGCCAAUACUUGUGUGAAUCACACUGGAAUUAACUUGGCUGGUUCCCAAAAAUAAUUUUUUAAAUGGAAGAGUAAUUGCCAGUCUAUGAGGUCAGAAACAGCUCCAAAGGAGUCAUGCUUAUCUUUGGUUCAGUUCUUUCACUGCUAGUAGCUUUGCUCUUCUUGCUAAAUAGGUGUUGUAUAUUGGUUUGGUAUGGUUUCAAAUCCACUUUUUACGACUCAGGUGAAGUUGUUUUCAUCUAAGGGUGAAUUUUUUUACAUUGAGGAAGGUGUGUUGGGAUGUUGUUAUCAACAUCUGUUAAUUGUCAAGAAGUACUCAGUAGCUCAACUGUUAGCAGGUGCUGCUAAGAACGUAUCAGUAAGAACAUAUGGAAGAGGAGCUAUGACAAAAUUGAUAUUUAAACUUUAAAUAUCAAGAAUUUGCGAGGACUUACAAGUGUUCAGUCUGGGCAAGACUACCCUUUGCUGAUCUAAAUAGCUUUCCAACAACUGUGGGCCAUUUGUUUCUGCUACAGCAAGGCAACUUUUUUCCAGUAGUGGUGAAAAUUGUGCAGCGGCCCCUUGAAGGAAAUCAUCCUGCCCACCAGAACUGGCAGCUUCAUUUCCCUAGCAACCUGCUCCAGCAACAAGGGUCCUCUGCUCUGGCUCUGGCAGCACUUGGUUGGCAAAGCCGACUCUUCGGAGAACCAACUUGUUGAAAGGAAUUGUACUAGUCUUCAGGAAAGAAAGUGCAUAUGCAUCCCUGGAACAGUACAUUGUGAAACUAUGGAAUUACCAAAACUACAGAACAAAUAGAAAAGAAAGUCAAUCCGGCAGGAUUGUUUUGAAUAAGAAGAAAAAAGGAAGGAAGUCAUGUCAGCAAAUUAGGAACAAUGUGAUUAGAACCAGCCAUGACUUUGAGAGACAGAGCAUGAGUCUGGAGAGACAGAGAAAGAGAAGGAGACACAGAAUCCGAAGCAGGCUCUAGGCUGUGAGCCAUCAGCCCAGAACCUAACGUGGGACUUGAACCCACAAACUGCGAGAUCAUGACCUGAGCUGAGGUUGGACGCUUACCCCCUUGAGCCACCCAGGCACCCCAUCCUCUUUUGGAUUUAAACCACAUAUUUUAUUUGUAUCACAUUUCAGUAAGUUUUUCAAGAUUUCCAUUGACUGGCAAAAGCUAUUUUUAUGGUCUUUCUGUUUCGCAUCCUGAAAUUCUUGCUGAUAUGGAUGGGCCAAUAGCUACCACAUACCAUCUUCUGUUGUCUCACUAUGAAACACAUGAAAAUCACUAUAGUUAGUCUCCACAGUAAAUAAUUUACGUUGAGGAUCCCUUAACUUCUGAUUUUCGUAAUUCUAUACCUUUGGCUUAAUACAGAUAAGCCUCACACCAAAUCCUAAAUUAGGAAUGAUUACUACAUAUCUACUACAUGAAAUAAAGUACUAAAAGAAGUGGUACAAUGAAGAUUCACCAUUAUUUCCUUUAGAAAAUUAGGUCACAGAAACUGUGUAAGUGUGUGUUUGUAUAUAUAUGCAUACACAUAACAUAUUCAUGUACAUAUAUACUAGGAUAGAAAGCACUAUGCCAUCAUAAUGUCAAAGUAUAUUGGGAGUUUAAGCAAAAGUAGAUCCUGGGAAGACUUUAUAAAAUAAUGGCCUUUCAGUCUUAAGUUAUAAAAAGGUUUUAGGUGUAAGGAGAUCAGAAAAGGUGUAUUUUAAGAAAAUGGAAAGUACAAUUAAAGAAAGAGAUUAGAAAUAGUUUGUAGAGGAUGUGGCAAAUAGAAAUAGUUUCGUUUGAUUGAAACAGAACUAAUACUGCUCAUAAGUAAUAUUUUUAUUUUUUUUUAAUUUUUUUUAACGUUUAUUUAUUUUUGAGACAGAGAGAGACAGAGCAUGAACAGGGGAGGGUCAGAGACAGAGGGAUACACAGAAUCUGAAACAGGCUCCAGGCUCUGAGCAGUCAGCACAGAGCCCGACGCGGAGCUUGAACUCACAGACCGCGAGAUCAUGAUCUGAGCCGAAGUCGGACGCCUAACCGACUGAGCCACCCAGGUGCCCCCAUAAGUAAUAUUUUUAAAAUAUUUUAGAACCACAGGAUAAAAUGUUUGAACCUUGUGAUAUAAAUAACAUGGGGUCAUUCAGCAUUAUGAGUAUAAAAGAGAGGAGUUUCACAAAGAUUAAUCCAAUACCAGAAUGAAAAACUUAGUGGAACAGGGGGAAAUUGGAGGUGGUAAACCUACUUCAAAGGCAAUUCCAAUUGUGCAGACAAAGAAUAAAACCUAUCUCUGUACACAAACAAAAACCAGAACAACCGAUCCUUUUACAAGACUAUACAUCUUUUUCAUAGAAAAAAAAAAAGUUUAAUCAGAAGGCUUAAUGGGGUAGAUGUUAUUCAGUCAUCUACAAGAAAGGAAAUGUAUUUCUGAUUUAGUCAUAAAAUCUGAGACCAUUCCCCUGUUCAGUCAUCUAUAGAAUAAAUGAUGUGCUCUGCACCAUCACAAAGCAGUCUGACAUACUAUUUUCACAUUUAGAAAUCUGAAUUUAGUAUCUGCAAUAAAGAAACUAAAAAUACAAUCUACUCUAAAACUCACUUUCCCUCCUGUCCUCUCUUGCUUAUUCCAGCUAAUUGUAUCUCUUUCCCCUCUAAAACAAAAUUCAAGACAUCAACAUUGCCCUGCAAUUAUAUUUUAUCUUACGUAAGGAUGGUCACUGACAAUCGAAGCUAAUCCAGGAUUUUGUUAAAUAAAAAGUCCAUAUAGGGUCACUUAGGUUGAGUAGAGUGAUUUUAUCCUUUUAUCAAAUCAAAUAUGAGGGAUUCACUUCUGCUAAAAUUACCUCUAUGGGUCUUUGCCUAUAGUGUGAUGAAGGUCACUGAGUUGAUUAAAGAGUUCGUGGCAAUAAUGGGGUCUGCUGCAGAUGCGAUCUGAAAUGAUCAAAAAAAAUUGAGAGCACAAGGGACUCAAAUGGUUCAGUGGAGAUAAUAUACCUGAAAAAAAUCUAUCCUCUGUGAAUGAUUACUCCUCCAAGCAGAAAGAAGUCUGAGAAUAGAGGGACUACAUAUUCUCCCUCUGAAACUAUGAGAGAAUGUGAGAAACAAGUUUAAAAAUGAAAGGUGAAUAAAAACAGGGAAGCAAGGAAGAACUCUUAGUGUGGAAAUCUAACUUCCUGGAAGAAUUAAGAGGCUCUGUGGAGUGUAUGAGGGAGACAUCCAUUCAUCUGGAACACAGAGGAAGAAACAAGAUGGGAAGUACUCAUCUGUCAGCGUACUGGGCCUUACCUUGCUGGUUACCAAGUUGUAUGUGUAUAUCUUGCCUCUGCUCUGUUAAGUUCCCUGGAGGCAAAAGUACUCUAUCAAUUUUCUUUGUAUCUCUAGAACCAUGCAUGGGGCCAUGUCAUCACAAUGCUUAAUACAGUAUACAUAAUUUAUCUAAUGGCCUUAGAAGUUUAUCAUCUUAUGAUAACUGAAUCUCUUGAGGGCAACAACUAUUUCUUGUUUAUCACUGUAAACCUCAGCAACUAAUGCAUAACGG